rnacentral:lncRNA from 10 species
AUAAGAGCUGGGCCCGGCCCACGGCGGCGGCGGCGGCGGCGGAGAGAGCUGGCUCAGGGCGUCCGCUAGGCUCGGACGACCUGCUGAGCCUCCCAAACCGCUUCCAUAAGGCUUUGCCUUUCCAACUUCAGCUACAGUGUUAGCUAAGUUUGGAAAGAAGGAAAAAAGAAAAUCCCUGGGCCCCUUUUCUUUUGUUCUUUGCCAAAGUCGUCGUUGUAGUCUUUUUGCCCAAGGCUGUUGUGUUUUUAGAGGUGCUAUCUCCAGUUCCUUGCACUCCUGUUAACAAGCACCUCAGCGAGAGCAGCAGCAGCGAUAGCAGCCGCAGAAGAGCCAGCGGGGUCGCCUAGUGUCAUGACCAGGGCGGGAGAUCACAACCGCCAGAGAGGAUGCUGUGAUCCUUGGCCGACUACCUGACCUCUGCAAAA